CAGUGGCAGUAGCAGUGGGCAAUCUAUUACUGGGGAAGAGCCAAAGGGCCAACAUCCGCAGCUCCGGACACGGCCAAUGGACGUGUACAUGGACUAUCUAGGCACUCUCCAUGGGAACUAAAGCCCAGGCUAGCCUUGAACUCACUAUGUAACCAUAGAUGGACCUGAUGAUCCUCCGGCUUUACUUUAGGAGACAGAUGUGACCCACCAAACUCAGUGUAUAGAGUGCUGCAGAUUGGACCCAGGGCCUCUUCUCUACUAGACAAGAGAAGCUUUCACCUCUCCUCGAAGAAGCUGCUGUUCCCACUGGAUGGAGGCCAUCACAGAAACCCACAACUGGUUAGAAUACAAAGAAACAAUGGAGUGUGGAGUGCCCAGCCCCAACAGCUGUAUCUACAACACAACUCCUGCACCUAGGCUCAGGGAAGACUGUAGAAGAGGGGUCAGAACAUUUGUAAGAGCCCAAUGAUCGAGGCCGUAAAAGCUCCUGUGAGGAUGUGUCUCCUGGAAACCGCAGGGAACCUGCAUCCACGAUGCCUCUGCAGUACAGUUAAUGAAACAAGACCUGAGCUACGAGGAUAGCAAUAGAGAGACGUGCAAAUGGACAAUAGCAAUAGACAGGCAAACGGGGAAGGGGCACGUCUCAGGGGGCCCCCACUCCUAGACAAAGAACUACAGGCAACUAGUGACUACUGGGAGGAGAAUUAGCCUCUCCCAGGAAUCUGCCCCUUAAUUGUCAUCCCUGAAAUCCACGCAUACAAGCAACACUAAAUACGCACUAAAUACGCAUCCUGCUGUAUUUAAGCAUUUCCCAUCCACCCUCCCCCACACAUCAGAAAAGGAGGCCAUGAAUCUGAGAAGGAAUAAGUAGAGGCAUAGAAGGAGAGGACAAGGGAGGAUAAAAUGAUGUAAUUACCUUUUAAUUUAAAAAAACCAUUAGGAACUGUUGGGAUUUUGUAACACUGGUCAUUUCGAGUGCUCAGAACUUAAUGUGUUUAU